rnacentral:rRNA from 1 species
GACGAACGCUGGCGGCGUGGAUUAGGCAUGCGAGUCGUGCGAGAACCGUAGCAAUACGGGGACAGCGGCGAAAGGGAGAGGAAUACGCGGGUACCUACCCUCGGAUCUGGGAUAGCUACGGGAAACUGUAGGUAAUACCAGAUAAUGUCUCCGGACCAAAGGUGUGAUUCCGUCCGGGGAGGGGCCCACGUCCUAUUAGCUAGUUGGUGAGGUAACGGCUCACCAAGGCGAAGAUGGGUACGGGAUGUGAGAGCAUGAUCCCGCUCAUUGGGACUGAGACACUGCCCAGACACCUACGGGUGGCUGCAGUCGAGAAUCUUCGGCAAUGGGGGAAACCCUGACCGAGCGACGCCGCGUGCGAGAUGAAGGCCUUCGGGUUGUAAACCACUGUCGGAGGGGAGGAAAUGCUGGGGGGAUCACCCCUCAGCUUGACCUAUCCUCGAAGGAAGGACGGGCUAAGUUCGUGCCAGCAGCCGCGGUAACAC